rnacentral:rRNA from 1 species
ACGGUCCUAAGGUAGCGAAAUUCCUUGUCGGGUAAGUUCCGACCUGCACGAAUGGCGUAAUGAUGGCCAGGCUGUCUCCACCCGAGACUCAGUGAAAUUGAACUCGCUGUGAAGAUGCAGUGUACCCGCGGCAAGACGGAAAGACCCCGUGAACCUUUACUAUAGCUUGACACUGAACAUUGAGCCUUGAUGUGUAGGAUAGGUGGGAGGCUUUGAAGUGUGGACGCCAGUCUGCAUGGAGCCGACCUUGAAAUACCACCCUUUAAUGUUUGAUGUUCUAACGUUGGCCCCUGAUCGGGGUUGCGGACAGUGUCUGGUGGGUAGUUUGACUGGGGCGGUCUCCUCCUAAAGAGUAACGGAGGAGCACGAAGGUUGGCUAAUCCUGGUCGGACAUCAGGAGGUUAGUGCAAUGGCAUAAGCCAGCUUGACUGCGAGCGUGACGGCGCGAGCAGGUGCGAAAGCAGGUCAUAGUGAUCCGGUGGUUCUGAAUGGAAGGGCCAUCGCUCAACGGAUAAAAGGUACUCCGGGGAUAACAGGCUGAUACCGCCCAAGAGUUCAUAUCGACGGCGGUGUUUGGCACCUCGAUGUCGGCUCAUCACAUCCUGGGGCUGAAGUAGGUCCCAAGGGUAUGGCUGUUCGCCAUUUAAAGUGGUACGCGAGCUGGGUUUAGAACGUCGUGAGACAGUUCGGUCCCUAUCUGCCGUGGGCGCUGGAGAACUGAGGGGGGCUGCUCCUAGUACGAGAGGACCGGAGUGGACGCAUCACUGGUGUUCGGGUUGUCAUGCCAAUGGCACUGCCCGGUAGCUAAAUGCGGAAGAGAUAAGUGCUGAAAGCAUCUAAGCACGAAACUUGCCCCGAGAUGAGUUCUCCCUGACUCCUUGAGGGUCCUGAAGGAACGUUGAAGACGACGACGUUGAUAGGCCGGGUGUGUAAGCGCAGCGAUGCGUUGAGCUAACCGGUACUAAUGAACCGUGAGGCUUAACCUU